GGAGGGAUGGCCGAGCGGUUUAAGGCGCACGCCUGGAAAGCGUGUUGGGUGCAAGCCCUCGGGGGUUCGAAUCCCCCUCCCUCCG
rnacentral:tRNA from 1 species